rnacentral:rRNA from 1 species
AGAGUUUGAUCCUGGCUCAGAUUGAACGCUGGCGGCAUGCCUUACACAUGCAAGUCGAACGCGAAAGGGGGCAACCCCGAGUAGAGUGGCGAACGGGUGAGCAAUACAUCGGAACGUGUCCUGUAGCGGGGGACAACACAUCGAAAGAUGUGCUAAUACCGCAUACGAUCUACGGAUGAAAGUGGGGGACCGCAAGGCCCCACACUAUAGGAGCGGCCGAUGCCGGAUUAGCUUGUUGGCGGGGUAAAAGCCCACCAAGGCGACGAUCCGUAGCUGGUUUGAGAGAACGACCAGCCACACUGGGACUGAGACACGGCCCAGACUCCUACGGGAGGCAGCAGUGGGGAAUUUUGGACAAUGGGCGCAAGCCUGAUCCAGCCAUGCCGCGUGAGUGAAGAAGGCCUUCGGGUUGUAAAGCUCUUUCGGCCGGGACGAAAUGGCGCGGGGUAAUAUCCCGCGUCGAUGACGGUACCGGAAGAAGAAGGACCGGCUAACUACGUGCCAGCAGCCGCGGUAAUACGUAGGGUCCAAGCGUUAAUCGGAAUUACUGGGCGUAAAGCGUGUGCAGGCGGUUUCGAAAGUCCGAUGUGAAAUCCCCGGGCUUAACCUGGGAACUGCGUUGGAAACUACGAGGCUAGAGUGCGGCAGAGGGGGGUGGAAUUCCAGGUGUAGCAGUGAAAUGCGUAGAUAUCUGGAGGAACACCGAUGGCGAAGGCAGCCCCCUGGGUUAGCACUGACGCUCAUACACGAAAGCGUGGGGAGCAAACAGGAUUAGAUACCCUAGUAGUCC